UACGUAGGGUGCAAGCGUUGUCCGGAAUCAUUGGGCGUAAAGAGCUCGUAGGCGGUCUGUCGCGUCGGCUGUGAAAUCCCGAGGCUCAACCUCGGGUCUGCAGUCGAUACGGGCAAACUAGAGUAUUGCGAGGGGAGACUGGAAUUCCUGGUGUAGCGGUGAAAUGCGCAGAUAUCAGGAGGAACACCCGUGGCGAAGGCGGCUCUCUGGGCCAUUACUGACGCUGAGGCGCGAAAGCUAGGGGAGCAAACAGG
rnacentral:rRNA from 1 species